GACAGAGGGUGCAACCGUUGUUCGGAAUUACUGGGCGUAAAGCGUGUGUAGGCGGCCUUGCAAGUCGGAUGUGAAAGCCCUGGGCUCAACCCAGGAAGUGCACUCGAAACUGCAGGGCUCGAGUACUGGAGAGGUUGGUGGAAUUCUCGGUGUAGAGGUGAAAUUCGUAGAUAUCGAGAGGAACACCGGUGGCGAAGGCGGCCAACUGGACAGAUACUGACGCUGAGACACGAAAGCGUGGGGAGCAAACAGG
rnacentral:rRNA from 1 species